ACAGAGGGUGCAAGCGUUGUUCGGAAUUAUUGGGCGUAAAGGGCGCGUAGGCGGCUACGUAAGUCAGGUGUGAAAUCCCGGGGCUUAACCCCGGAAGUGCGCCUGAUACUGCGUGGCUUGAGUGUCGGAGAGGAUGGUGGAAUUCCCAGUGUAGAGGUGAAAUUCGUAGAUAUUGGGAGGAAUACCGGUGGCGAAGGCGACCAUCUGGACGAACACUGACGCUGAGGCGCGAAAGCGUGGGGAGCAAACA
rnacentral:rRNA from 1 species